GACAGAGGGGGCAAGCGUUGCUCGGAAUACUGGGCGUAAAGCGUGCGCAGGCGGUUUUGUAAGCCAGAUGUGAAAGCCCCGGGCUUAACCUGGGAAUGGCAUUUGGGACUGCAAGGCUGGAGUGCGGCAGAGGAGACUGGAAUUCCCGGUGUAGCAGUGAAAUGCGUAGAUAUCGGGAGGAAUACCGAUGGCGAAGGCAGGUCUCUGGGCUGACACUGACGCUCAUGCACGAAAGCGUGGGGAGCAAACAGG
rnacentral:rRNA from 1 species